GGUAGAAUGGCUGAGGGUUAAGUAGUGGAUUGUAGCUCCAUUGACAGGGGUUUAAGUCCCCUUUCUAUCA
rnacentral:tRNA from 1 species